rnacentral:lncRNA from 1 species
CGGGCUCGGGAACCAUGUCUUCCUGAUCUGAAAUGGUUAAAUAAGGAGUGAGCUACACUAGCCCAGUAAGAACAUCACGAUAUCUCACCGUCACGGAGGUAAAGGUGGGUAGAAAAACACAAAAGACCAAUGGAGCAUAAUUUACAAUAAAACCUUUGAUCAAUAAUAAAACUUUUACCAUCCACUUACCUUGGUGGAAUUUAUGAAAACAAUAUGAGAAAAACAAUAACAUCAUCAUAAUCAUCGAAUAAUCUAAGCUGUA